GAGGCCUCCCCUCCUCUCUUCUCGUCUCUGGCGCCGACCCGCCCCCGACCCCCGAAUAUAGGCCUAUCAUUGCUCCGGCCGCACGUCGCUCUUGCCCGUCGAGCUCGCUCUAUUGGUUCUUGUUGGGGAUGCGGCCGGCCCCCUCUCGAUGAUUGGACAAUCUUUGCAAGGCGCGGCGUUCGAUUGGCUUCCCGCGCGGGCUGCUAGGAUUGGCUCAGGCUUUCUUCCCCGCUCCGCCUCCUCCUCCCGCCUCGGGGCACAACACGCCAGCGCGAGGACUUGUGCGUCAAUCCAGAUGCCUGUGUCGCCCUGAUUGGGCGGACAGGUCUCUCAGUUGUACGGUCUUUCUCCAAGUGCCUGUGGCCCAUCUUUGAGACUUAGAGGAUGGAAUUAAAGGAAGGAAGCAGAAGACAAUGCCCCAAAUCACUGACAUCACGCAUAGCUGCAUUGGUUGGGAAGCGGCAUGGAGGCAUGGAGUUUUUGUCCUUCCUCUGAAUGGUGACGUGCUUGUGGAACAGGAUCUCUCCUCCGCACCUCCGUUCGCUUGUUGUCGUGAGGAUGCCGCAGAAGGUACAGAUGGGAUUCCCUGUCCACCCCCUACUCCCGUGCGCACCUCCCCCCACCAUGAUCGUCGCCUACUGGGCUUUAAGAUCUCAGCUCGGUGGUCUUCUCUUGGAGGGAAAACUUCCCUGACCUCCCGUUCUGAGUGGUCCCAUGAGCCCUGUUAAUUAGCAUCUACUUUUGCGACUGAUCCUGAAGCGUACUAAACUUGGAGAAACUGUUCUAAGGAUGCAGCACUAUCGGGUGACUUAGAUUCCUUCUUGAGACUUGCACCUCCGUGCCCCCGUCCACUGGUUCAACGGUUCAAUCUGGCCAGCGGGGCACGGGGAUUCUGACAGGUGGCUCUUCCCUGGCACACCCACAGGCAGAGGUCAGCAAAGGUCGUCACUUUCAAGCAAGGCUGAUCUACACAGUUCCAGGGGCCCUGAGGGUGAGUCCGGUGCUGAGUGUUUCCUGAGCAUCCUUCUGUCCUCACGUGUGUGCCUGGUGGUGUCAGUGGGGAGGCCUGGAAGGUGGAACAACCGCCCAAGAUGCCACGAGCAGCCAGGUGGCCUGUGCUGGAAGCUGGGGCCUCGGAAUGAGCGGAGUUCUUGAAGGGGCCUGGAGAUAGAGAGGGUGCUCCUCGCCCCGGAACCCCACGAGGUGACAGGCCCAGGGGUGGACCUG